rnacentral:other from 1 species
AUAUAUUUUGCAAAUAUUUUGGGAGACAUUGCUUUUUCUCCCGGUGCUCCCCCUGUUCUUUCCUGUGGAGUGCGCUGCGUCGCCCAGCCCUGUCGCCCCCCGGAGGUGAUCCCUCCUUCCUGCCCGCCCGCCAGCCUGACCUGU